AUACGUAGGGGGCGAGCGUUGUCCGGAAUGAUUGGGCGUAAAGGGCGCGUAGGCGGCGCGGUAAGUCUGGAGUGAAAGUCCUGCUUUCAAGGUGGGAAUUGCUUUGGAUACUGCCGCGCUUGAGUGCAGGAGAGGUUAUCGGAAUUCCCGGUGUAGCGGUGAAAUGCGUAGAGAUCGGGAGGAACACCAGUGGCGAAGGCGGGUAACUGGACUGCAACUGACGCUGAGGCGCGAAAGUGUGGGGAGCAAACAGGAUUAGAUACCCUGGUGGUCCACGCGGUAAACGAUGAAUACUAGGUGUCGGGUGGCAACAGCCAUUCGGUGCCGCAGCAAACGCAAUAAGUAUUCCGCCUGGGGAGUACGUUCGCAAGAAUGAAACUCAAAUGAAUUGGCGGGG
rnacentral:rRNA from 1 species